GUUCAGGUAUGCUGGGUCCUGCCUGGCUGGCAGUUGGAGGCAGAGCUGUCACCGGGCCUCCGUGUGUCAGAUCCUGCUGCUGAACUUGGUCUGGCAUGCAGGUCACUUGUGUCAGAUGACUCUGAGCAGUGAUGAUGAACCAGAACCUGGAAACAGCUCUUGGCCUACAGGGCAGGAGGAUGGAGGCAGGGCUGCCUCUGGGUGUUUGGUGUUUGGAUCCUGCCGCUGAACUUGGUCCAGAACGCAGAAUUCCAGUGAGACUUGGCCAACUACAAGCAAUAAAGGAAGACUUGGCAAAAAUAUACUACUCUCAGUUGCUACCUGCAAGCUGACCAAGGCUUUCCCAGAUUUCCUGGAGAAUCCUACAUUUUUUGUGUCGGAAGAAGCUGAUCUUCUCACUCACCAUGAUCUCUGCCUCUCUGCAAAUACUGAGCUAAUCUCCCACUCUGGGUUUUAAACUAUGUUUGUUAAUAUCAUGGAAUAAAUAUAAAUCUGAUGUCUAGGUUUCUGUG
rnacentral:lncRNA from 1 species